rnacentral:rRNA from 1 species
GAUGAACGCUGGCGGCGGGCCUAACACAUGCAAGUCGAACGGAAAGGGCCUGCUUGUGCGGGGUGCUCGAGUGGCGAACGGGUGAGUAACAUGUGAGUAACCUUCCUUUGACUUUGGGAUAACCUCAGGAAACUGCGGCUAACACCGGAUAGGUGCUCCUGCUGCAUGGGGGGGGUCGGAAAGUUUGGGCGGAGGUGGAUGGACGCGCGGUUAACUAGCUGGUUGGUUGAGGACUGGCUUACCAAGGCAUCGGUGGGUAGCCGGCCUGAGAGGGUGACCGGGCACAUGAGGACUGAGAUACGGCCCAGAGUCGUACGGUAGGCAGUAGUGGGGAAUAUUGCCCAAUGGGCGGAAGCCUGAUGAAGCAACGCCGCGUGCGGGAUGACGGCCUUCUUGUGGGAAAGCGCAUUCAGCUGUUACGAAGCGUGAUUGACGUUAAUAGGUGAAGAAGCACCGGCUAACUACGUG